UACGUAGGGGGCUAGCGUUGUCCGGAAUCAUUGGGCGUAAAGCGCGUGUAGGCGGCCCGGUAAGUCCGCUGUGAAAGUCGGGGGCUCAACCCUCGGAUGCCGGUGGAUACUGUCGGGCUCGAGUACGGAAGAGGCGAGUGGAAUUCCUGGUGUAGCGGUGAAAUGCGCAGAUAUCAGGAGGAACACCGAUUGCGAAGGCAGCUCGCUGGGACGUGACUGACGCUGAGACGCAAAAGCGUGGGGAGCAAACAGG
rnacentral:rRNA from 1 species